CGCAGCCUACGGGGGGCAGCAGUGGGGAAUAUUGGGCAAUGGGCGCAAGCCUGACCCAGCAACGCCGCGUGAAGGAAGAAGGCUUUCGGGGUGUAAACUUCUUUUCUGAGGGACGAAGAAAGUGACGGUACCUCAGGAAUAAGCCACGGCUAACUACGUGCCAGCAGCCGCGGUAAUACGUAGGUGGCAAGCGUUAUCCGGAUUUAUUGGGUGUAAAGGGCGUGUAGGCGGGAUAGCAAGUCAGCUGUGAAAACUCAGGGCUCAGCC
rnacentral:rRNA from 1 species